AAGAAACCUGGGAUUGUUUUUGUUUUCCUCAAUUAAUGAUGAAUAGUAGUUUGCCCUGGCAUGGCGGAGGGCCUUUCUGUACGUUUUAAGUCUGUCCUGCCAGACUAAACCGGACUCUUCCAGGUUGGUUGAAUGCCAGUAUUUUUCAAGUUUUCGCGAUACUUGUUUUACUUUGUGGGUCUGGGGGUUAAACCAUGGAGCUAAUUUUCUUUUUUUCAGUAUUUUCCUCUUAAAAGGUGCAACGCAUUCGAGAGCUGAUCGCAGUGAGCCAGUAGCACCAUAAACAAUCAAUUUGAGAAUGAUUUAAAUUAGUAAAAGCGUUCUCAGUCACAUUGAGACAUGGUAAUGAGGUCAAUACAGACAGAAUCACUUCAUUAAAUUUAGCUACUGCACCAUCGGAAAGACAUCUAGUAUAGUAACUCUUGUUGAGAGAUGUGUAAUCAAGUAGCAAAAAAUUGAAAGUUAUUAAAUAGUGGUCUGUCAGAACGACAAUCAAUAUGAAUCAAUAUUCAUCAAUACAGACAUCUGUCGUCAGUACUGGUGGUUUGUGUCACUAAUAUCUGAGUUUUUUUGAGGGUUUGUGAAUGCAGCACAGCAGGCGGAGUUCUUUUUAUCUUUAGCAGCUGAAUGUCAAUGUGAGGUGGAUAAUUGAUCUUUUGAAUCGUUCACUGCUGAUCAGAUCGAUGGAGGAGAUAUUUGUAGAUUUCACUUGUGCCUGAUGUUCUGCUGCUCCUCUCUGCCUCUACUGCGCUAUAAAUAACCCAACGCUGUUUUAAUAUGACUCUUAAUUAAUGGAGACUAAGGCGGGACAAAUUAGACUUUAGGCAACCUGCCAUAGACUUUGUUAUUAAUGGGAAACACAGGACUCUGCCUCCGCCUCGGAGGACGUGACAGCAGGAGUUCCUCAGUGUGUUCCCUCUACUGCUCAACAAUAUCUCCGUCCGCGUCAGCAGUUCUCCAACCCCUGCUUCAGGAGACUCACAGGACAACCACGUCUGAGAGGCCUCCUUCUUCAGCCUGACGGCCUCCUUCACUGCUGUUGUCCACCAGCAGGUUCUUGGUUUAUGCCUGGACAGGCAGCAAUGACCUUUUUGACCACAACCACCAGCAACCGCUUCUACAAUGGAGGAUUCAAACAUGGACCACACCUGGAGGUUUGGGUUGAAGACCUGGUGGACAGGAGCCUCAGCCAGUAGUUCCAGUCACAUCCCUUCAGGUUUCUCCAUCAUUGCCCAAGUGAGUAGUGAAGUCCCCCAGAAGAACCAUAGAGUCCACGGUUUCCAGAAUACCACCUUGAGACUCAAAGAAGGCCUGGUACUCCGAACUGCUACCGUCAGAGACUCACAGUCCCAUCGAGGCCACCGUCUUGUUCCCCAAGGAGAACUCCACAGUAACGUUCAGCUGGGGGUUCGUGAGUAUCCUGACACCCCCCCCCCCCCUUUGAGGAUGCUGGUGGUCAGUGUAGUUGAUUAAGGCUGAGACUGGCCAGGCCAAAGUAAUCCAGACUAACAUAAUCCUUUUAACUUUAACUUGUGAUUCUCAAACUUCAAUAAAGAACGCUCUUAUUUUAAAGAGGCAGAUUGGGCUCUCAUGAUUGGUUGAUCUGUGGUCACAUGUUUCCUGAGUGAUCAGAUAAUAAUCAGUUUUGAUCAGUGAUGAUGUCACAGAUGACAUCAUGUCCAGGUGUGUCUCAUGUGUCCCUUGUCUAUCUCUUCUCAGUGGCACGUCCAGGCCACCUGUGCCACUCAGGGUACCGGUCUCUAUGAGGGUCUGGACUGGCUGUCCAACGAGCUGUCCAAACGCUAGACCACCUGACAGGAAGCAGGAAGCAGCGGACUGAUGUCAUCGACUGACGGGCUGGUGGGCAUGUCCAAACUGAUGAAGAGGAGGAAGUUUCACCGUUUUUGUUUUUUUAAAUUAUAUGUUUCUGUCUGUAGGAGGAAGUGAUGUCAUGGACUCUGAGCUCAUCCUCUUCUUCUUCUCUUCUUCCUGUACGUUUGUUUUUCUUUUAAUCAGCAUGUUUUAGAAUCAUGUGACAGGAAGUGAUGGAAGAGGAGGGGCGGGGCUUAAGACAGGUGACAAUGUACCUGUGGACAGGGGGUGGGAUCAACACAGGUGACUGAUUACCUAUGGGCAGGGGGCGGGGUCAAUACAAGUGACUGAACAUGUGGGCGGGGUUUAUGAUAGGUGACUGAAGUUGUGGGAGGGGUGAAACAGGUGAUGUCUCUUGUGGGCGGGGCUAGACAGUCACCUGGCGUGCGAUGACUCAUUCCACAGAGCCUGGGGGCGUGGUCAUUCCGAAUCGAUGUGAAGCAGCAGUGCGACAGCGAUGAUGCAAUAAAGGGUUUUUUUCUUCUCGAA